GUUGUAUAGUCAAGUAAUUAAGUGCAUGUGGUGGAUGCCUUGGCAGUCAGAGGCGAUGAAAGACGUGAUAGCCUGCGAAAAGCUCCGGGGAGGCGGCAAAUAUCCUUUGAUCCGGAGAUGUCUGAAUGGGGGAACCCACCUACUUUAAGGUAGGUAUUGCAACAUGAAUACAUAGUGUUGCAAGGCGAACGAGGGGAAGUGAAACAUCUCAGUACCCUUAGGAAAAGAAAUCAAUUGAGAUUCCCUCAGUAGCGGCGAGCGAACGGGGAUCAGCCCAUUAAGUUAUGUGUGUUUUAGUGGAACGCUCUGGGAAGUGCGAACGUAGAGGGUGAUAUUCCCGUACACGAAAGGGCACACAUAAUGAUGACGAGUAGGGCGAGGCACGUGAAACCUUGUCUGAAUAUGGGGGGACCAUCCUCCAAGGCUAAAUACUCCUGACUGACCGAUAGUGAACCAGUACCGUGAGGGAAAGGCGAAAAGAACCCCUGUGAGGGGAGUGAAAUAGAUCCUGAAACCGCAUGCAUACAAGCAGUGGGAGCACCUUCGUGGUGUGACUGCGUACCUUUUGUAUAAUGGGUCAGCGACUUAUAUUCAGUAGCGAGGUUAACCGUAUAGGGGAGCCGUAGAGAAAUCGAGUCUUAAUAGGGCGUUUAGUUGCUGGGUAUAGACCCGAAACCAGGCGAUCUAUCCAUGAGCAGGUUGAAGGUUGGGUAACACUAACUGGAGGACCGAACCCACUGUCGUUGAAAAGCCAGGGGAUGACUUGUGGAUAGGGGUGAAAGGCUAAUCAAGCCUGGUGAUAGCUGGUUCUCCCCGAAAGCUAUUUAGGUAGCGCCUCGGACGAAUACCAUAGGGGGAGAGCACUGUUUCGGCUAGGGGGUCAUCCCGACUUACCAAACCGAUGCAAACUCCGAAUACCUAUGAGUACUAUCCGGGAGACAGACUGCGGGUGCUAACGUCCGUAGUCAAGAGGAAAACAAUCCAGACCGCCAGCUAAGGCCCCAAAAUCAUAGUUAAGUGGGAAACGAUGUGGGAAGGCAUAGACAGCUAGGAGGUUGGCUUAGAAGCAGCCACCCUUUAAAGAAAGCGUAAUAGCUCACUAGUCGAGUCGGCCUGCGCGGAAGAUGUAACGGGGCUAAAACUAUGUGCCGAAGCUGCGGAUGUAUACUUUGUAUACGUGGUAGGGGAGCGUUCUGUAAGCCGAUGAAGGUGUGUUGAGAAGCAUGCUGGAGGUAUCAGAAGUGCGAAUGCUGACGUGAGUAACGACAAAACGGGUGAAAAACCCGUUCGCCGAAAGACCAAGGGUUCCAGUCCAACGUUAAUCGGGGCUGGGUGAGUCGACCCCUAAGGCGAGGCCGAAAGGCGUAGUCGAUGGGAAAAUGGUUAAUAUUCCAUUACUUCUGUGUAAUGCGAUGAGAGGACGGAGAAGGCUAAAUCAGCCUGGCGUUGGUUGUCCAGGUGAAAGGAUGUAGGCAUGUAUCUUAGGCAAAUCCGGGGUACUCUAUGCUGAGAUCUGAUAGCAAGCUGUACUUGUACAGCGAAGUGGUUGAUGCCAUGCUUCCAGGAAAAGUCUCUAAGCUUCAGUUACACAGGAAUCGUACCCGAAACCGACACAGGUGGUCAGGUCGAGUAGACCAAGGCGCUUGAGAGAACUCUGCUGAAGGAACUAGGCAAAAUGGUACCGUAACUUCGGGAGAAGGUACGCUGUUGUUGGUGAUGGAACUCGCUUCCUGAGCUGACGACAGCCGCAGAAACCAGGCCGCUGCAACUGUUUAUUAAAAACAUAGCACUCUGCAAACACGAAAGUGGACGUAUAGGGUGUGAUGCCUGCCCGGUGCUGGAAGGUUAAUUGAUGGGGUUAGCGUAAGCGAAGCUCUUGAUCGAAGCCCCAGUAAACGGCGGCCGUAACUAUAACGGUCCUAAGGUAGCGAAAUUCCUUGUCGGGUAAGUUCCGACCUGCACGAAUGGCAUAAUGAUGGCGGCGCUGUCUCCAGCAGAGGCUCAGUGAAAUCGAAAUCGCUGUGAAGAUGCAGUGUACCCGCGGCUAGACGGAAAGACCCCGUGAACCUUUACUGCAGCUUGACACUGAACUUUGACCUUACUUGUGUAGGAUAGGUGGGAGGCUUUGAAGCUGGAACGCUAGUUCCAGUGGAGCCGUCCUUGAAAUACCACCCUGGUAAUGUUGAGGUUCUAACUCUGUCCCGUGAUCCGGGACGAGGACCGUGUCUGGUGGGUAGUUUGACUGGGGCGGUCUCCUCCUAAAGAGUAACGGAGGAGUACGAAGGUGCGCUCAGCGUGGUCGGAAAUCACGCGUAGAGUAUAAAGGCAAAAGCGCGCUUAACUGCGAGACCCACAAGUCGAGCAGGUACGAAAGUAGGUCUUAGUGAUCCGGUGGUUCUGUAUGGAAGGGCCAUCGCUCAACGGAUAAAAGGUACUCUGGGGAUAACAGGCUGAUACCGCCCAAGAGUUCAUAUCGACGGCGGUGUUUGGCACCUCGAUGUCGGCUCAUCUCAUCCUGGGGCUGAAGCAGGUCCCAAGGGUAUGGCUGUUCGCCAUUUAAAGAGGUACGCGAGCUGGGUUUAGAACGUCGUGAGACAGUUCGGUCCCUAUCUACCGUGGGCGCUGGAAAUUUGAGAGGAUCUGCUCCUAGUACGAGAGGACCAGAGUGGACGAACCUCUGGUGUACCGGUUGUGACGCCAGUCGCAUCGCCGGGUAGCUAUGUUCGGAAGGGAUAACCGCUGAAAGCAUCUAAGCGGGAAGCCUACCUCAAGAUAAGAUUUCCCUAGGACUUUAUGUCCUCUAAAGAGCCGUUCGAGACUAGGACGUUGAUAGGUUGGAUGUGGAAGCAUAGUGAUAUGUGAAGCUGACCAAUACUAAUUGCUCGUGAGGCUUGACUAUACAACACCCAAGCAGUUG
rnacentral:rRNA from 1 species